rnacentral:rRNA from 1 species
AUUGAACGCUGGCGGCAGGCUUAACACAUGCAAGUCGAGCGGGGUGAUGGUGCUUGCACUAUCACUUAGCGGCGGACGGGUGAGUAAUGCUUAGGAAUCUGCCUAUUAGUGGGGGACAACAUCUCGAAAGGGAUGCUAAUACCGCAUACGUCCUACGGGAGAAAGCAGGGGAUCACUUGUGACCUUGCGCUAAUAGAUGAGCCUAAGUCGGAUUAGCUAGUUGGUGGGGUAAAGGCCUACCAAGGCGACGAUCUGUAGCGGGUCGGAGAGGAUGGUCCGCCAGACUGGGACUGAGGCACGGCCGAGACUGCUACGGGAGGCAGCAGGGGGGAGUAUUGGACAAUGGGGGGAACCCUGAGCCAGCCAUGCCGCGUGUGUGAAGAAGGCCUUAUGGUUGUAAAGCACUUUAAGCGAGGAGGAGGCUCUUUUGGUUAAUACCCAAGAUGAGUGGACGUUACUCGCAGAAUAAGCACCGGCUAACUCUGUGCCAGCCGCCGCCGUAA